AUUGAACGCUGGCGGCAGGCCUAACACAUGCAAGUCGAGCGGUUGAGGUAGCUUGCUACCGAUGCAGCGGCGGACGGGUGAGUAAUACAUGGGAAUCUGCCUGGUAGUGGGGGACAACGUUUCGAAAGGAACGCUAAUACCGCAUACGCCCUACGGGGGAACGGGGGGGAUCGCAAGACCUCUCGCUAUCAGAUGAGCCC
rnacentral:rRNA from 1 species